GUAGCUUAUUUGUUUAUGAGGACAAAGAAGAAGGAUACUGGUGAGGAGGAGCAAGAUGUAACUCGUGUCUCAACUAAGGAUGCUACCCCUCAUGUUGUUGAGAUGCCUGUGCCGCCACCAUCUAUUACAAAUCCCAUGAUCAAACGAGAGCCAAUUCCAGAAAACGAACAAUGUGAACUCUUGAAGUGGAUAUUGGAAGAGAAGAGGAAGGUCAAAGCAAAAGACGCAGAGGAGAAGCGGAAAAUUGAUGAAGAGAAAGCUCUGCUUAAAAAGCUUAUUCGGUCAAAAUCCAUCCCAAGUGUCUAAUGAUGUUAUCUUUAUCGUCAGGGAAAAAAGUUCUUGAAUUCAAAUGUACUUGAAUUGAUUCAUCCAAUGCUUUUAUUUUCUGUUGGUUUUUUGUUGGAUUCUAGAUUAUAGAUUUGUGAAUUUGAGAGUUCAGGGUCCUGACAUCCUAAA